rnacentral:rRNA from 1 species
UACGGGGGGGGCAAGCGUUGUUCGGAAUUACUGGGCGUAAAGGGCGCGUAGGCGGCCCGCUUAGUCGGACGUGAAAUCCCCGGGCUCAACCCGGGAACUGCGUCCGAGACUGGAAGGCUCGAAUCCGGGAGAGGGAUGUGGAAUUCCAGGUGUAGCGGUGAAAUGCGUAGAUAUCUGGAGGAACAUCGGUGGCGAAGGCGGCAUCCUGGACCGGUAUUGACGCUGAGGCGCGAAAGUCAGGGGAGCAACCGGG